rnacentral:rRNA from 1 species
AUACGUAGGUGGCGAGCGUUGUCCGGAAUUACUGGGCGUAAAGGAUGCGUAGGUGGAUAUUUAAGUGGGAUGUGAAAUCCCCGGGCUCAACCCGGGAACUGCAUUCCAAACUGGGUAUCUAGAGUGCAGGAGAGGAAAGCGGAAUUCCUAGUGUAGCGGUGAAAUGCGUAGAUAUUAGGAGGAACACCAGUGGCGAAGGCGGCUUUCUGGACUGUAACUGACACUGAGGCAUGAAAGCGUGGGUAGCAAACAGGAUUAGAUCCCCUGGUAGUCCACGCCGUAAACGAUGGGUACUAGGUGUAGGAGGUAUCGACCCCUUCUGUGCCGUCGUUAACACAAUAAGUACCCCGCCUGGGGAGUACGGUCGCAAGACUAAAACUCAAAUGAAUUGACGGGG